GCUUUAUCAUGAUGAAACACCAGUUCUCAUACAAUCACUGAAAUUAAGCAAUGUUUAGCUUGGUCAGUACCUAGUUGGGUGACUGCUUGGGAAUACCAGGUGCUGUAAG